AGUGAACGUUGGCGGCGUGGAUUAGGCAUGCGAGUCGAGCGAGAACCGUAGCAAUACGGGGACAGCGGCGAAAGGGACAGUAAUAUGUAGGUACCUACCCUCGGGUCCGGGAUAGCUGCGGGAAACUGCAGGUAAUACCGGAUGACAUCUCCGGAUCAAAGGUGUGAUUCCGCCUCGGGAGCGGACUGCGUCCUACUAGCUAGUUGGCGGGGUAAUGGCCCACCAAGGCGACGAUGGGUAGCGGGUGUGAGAGCAUGACCCGUCUCACUGGGACUGAGACACUGCCCAGACACCUACGGGUGGCUGCAGUCGAGAAUCUUCGGCAAUGAGCGCAAGCUUGACCGAGCGACGCCGCGUGCGGGAUGAAGGCCUUCGGGUUGUAAACCGCUUUCGGUUGGGAGGAAAUCGCUAGGGGUUCUCCCCUAGUGUUGACCUAUCUUCGGAAGAAGGACGGGCUAAGUUCGUGCCAGCCGCCGCCGUAA
rnacentral:rRNA from 1 species